UAAGCGCGCGUAGGUGGUUAAUUAAGUCAAAUGUGAAAUCCCCGAGCUUAACUUGGGAAUUGCAUUCGAUACUGGUUAGCUAGAGUAUGGGAGAGGAUGGUAGAAUUCCAGGUGUAGCGGUGAAAUGCGUAGAGAUCUGGAGGAAUACCGAUGGCGAAGGCAGCCAUCUGGCCUAAUACUGACACUGAGGUGCGAAAGCAUGGGGAGCAAACAGGAUUAGAUACCCUGGUAGUCCAUGCCGUAAACGAUGUCUACUAGCCGUUGGGGGAUUUGAUCCUUUAGUGGCGCAGCUAACGCGAUAAGUAGACCGCCUGGGGAGUACGGUCGCAAGACUAAAACUCAAAUGAAUUGACGGGGGCCCGCACAAGCGGUGGAGCAUGUGGUUUAAUUCGAUGCAACGCGAAGAACCUUACCUGGCCUUGACAUAGUAGAGACUUUCCAGAGAUGGAUUGGUGCCUUCGGGAAUCUACAUACAGGUGCUGCAUGGCUGUCGUCAGCUCGUGUCGUGAGAUGUUGGGUUAAGUCCCGCAACGAGCGCAACCCUUUUCCUUACUUGCCAGCAUUUCGGAUGGGAACUUUAAGGAUACUGCCAGUGACAAACUGGAGGAAGGCGGGGACGACGUCAAGUCAUCAUGGCCCUUACGGCCAGGGCUACACACGUGCUACAAUGGUCGGUACAAAGGGUUGCUACACAGCGAUGUGAUGCUAAUCUCAAAAAGCCGAUCGUAGUCCGGAUCGCAGUCUGCAACUCGACUGCGUGAAGUCGGAAUCGCUAGUAAUCGCGGAUCAGAAUGCCGCGGUGAAUACGUUCCCGGGCCUUGUACACACCGCCCGUCACACCAUGGGAGUUUGUUGCACCAGAAGUAGGUAGUCUAACCGCAAGGAGGACGCUUACCACGGUGUGGCCGAU
rnacentral:rRNA from 1 species